rnacentral:rRNA from 1 species
UACAGAGACUGCAAGCGUUAUUCGGAUUCACUGGGCGUAAAGGGUGCGCAGGCGGCCAAGUGUGUGAGGCGUGAAAGCCCUGGGCUUAACCCCGGAAUUGCACCUCAAACUACAUGGCUAGAGCAUUGGAGAGGGUAGCAGAAUUCAUGGUGUAGCAGUGAAAUGCGUAGAUAUCAUGAGGAAUACCAGAGGCGAAGGCGGCUACCUGGACAAUUGCUGACGCUCAGGCACGAAAGCGUGGGGAGCAAAAGGG